rnacentral:rRNA from 1 species
GUAAAUGCUUAUAGCGGCGGUGUAGCGCAUUUAUAAAUCGGUUGAAGCACAUUAGAAAGUGCUUGAAGGGGCCAUAAAAUAUGGCAUUAGGAGUGGGGACAAGUGCGCUCUAGAAAGCGACUUCAGGGCAGGCUCAGAAACACUUUGAAAGCGAAAAUGAAAGGCAUUAGAAAAAGUAAAAACCACAGCACCCAGGAUUCCCGCGUGGUCCCCCACCGUGGUAC